UACGUAGGGGGCAAGCGUUAUCCGGAAUUACUGGGCGUAAAGGGUGCGUAGGUGGUUUCUUAAGUCAGAGGUGAAAGGCUACGGCUCAACCGUAGUAAGCCUUUGAAACUGGGGAACUUGAGUGCAGGAGAGGAAAGUGGAAUUCCUAGUGUAGCGGUGAAAUGCGUAGAUAUUAGGAGGAACACCAGUUGCGAAGGCGGCUCUCUGGACUGUAACUGACACUGAGGCACGAAAGCGUGGGGAGCAAACAGG
rnacentral:rRNA from 1 species